rnacentral:rRNA from 1 species
AACGUAGGAGACAAACGUUAUCCGGAGUUACUGGGCGUAAAGGGCGUGUAGGUGGUUUCGUAAGUCUGGCGUGAAAUUUUUCGGCUUAACCGGGAAAGGUCGUCGGAUACUGCGGAGCUAGAGGACGGUAGAGGCGUGUGGAAUUCCGGGUGUAGUGGUGAAAUGCGUAGAGAUCCGGAGGAACACCAGCGGCGAAGGCGACACGCUGGGCCGUACCUGACACUGAUGCGCGACAGCAUGGGGAGCAAACAGG